rnacentral:rRNA from 1 species
UACAGAGGUCCCAAGCGUUGUUCGGAUUCACUGGGCGUAAAGCGUGCGUAGGCUGUUUGGCAAGUUGGAAGUGAAAGCCCGGGGCUCAACCCCGGAAUUGCUUUCAAAACUGCCAGACUCGAAUUCGGGAGAGGAUAGCGGAAUUUCCAGUGUAGUAGUGAAAUACGUAGAUAUUGGAAGGAACACCAGUGGCGUAAGCGGCUAUCUGGACCGACAUUGACGCUGAGGCACGAAAGCGUGGGGAUCAAACAGG